rnacentral:rRNA from 1 species
GUGACCCGUCUUGAAGCACGGACCAAGGAGUCUAACAUGUACGCGAGUCAUUGAGAAUUUAAACUCAAAGGCAAAAUGAAAGUGAAGACUUGCAUUAGUAAGUUGAGGAGAGAUCAAGGCAUUACUUGAAAUUCUGUAAAGAUUGUGCGAGUAGAAUGUAUGCGCAUCUCCUGGACGUCUAUACCUCUGAAGGUGGGGCGUACCUAGAGCGUACACGUUGGGACCCGAAAGAUGGUGAACUAUGCCUGGUCAGAACGAAGUCAGGGGAAACUCUGAUGGAGGUUCGUAGCGAUUCUGACGUGCAAAUCGAUCGUCGGAACUGGGUAUAGGGGCGAAAGACUAAUCGAACCAUCUAGUAGCUGGUUCCCUCCGAAGUUUCCCUCAGGAUAGCUGGCACUUAACCAGUCUCAUCCGGUAAAGCGAAUGAUUAGAGGCCUUGGGGCCGAAACGACCUCAACCUAUUCUCAAACUUUAAAUGGGUGAGAAGUCUGGCUUGCUUGAUCGAAGCACAGACAUUAAUUGGAUGGAGAGUGCCAAGUGGGCCACUCUUGGUAAGCAGAACUGGCGCUGUGGGAGUA